rnacentral:lncRNA from 12 species
UUAUAAUUUAUAGUAGGCCAGGUGAUUUAAAGAGUUUGGGAGCAUGAAGCAUUUCCUCUCUGUCUUAGGAGAUCAACCUCUUCUAAUUAUGAAAGAAAAAGGCAAACCUUCAUUUACUGAGUGAAAGACAUUUGAUGACCAUAUGUUGUUUCACUUUCUCUUCAUCACAAACCUGCAAUGAGGACGUGUCAUGGCUCCAUCAGCUACAAUGCAACUCAGUAAGGAGGACAUGCCUCCACAUGUAUGAUGGUGGGCAUUCUCUCUUCUUAAUUGAUUGUGAUCCGUGCUCUCCCUUGCACAAUUUGAACAGUGCUGUCAAAAUUAAUCUAUUCAGUUCAUUAAAGUCUUCUAUCCUUAAUUUUUAUGUUGAGAUUUGACAGAAUGAUAACUAAUGGGAAUUAUUAAAAUGAGAAUGAUUUUCUUCUGCUUAUAUAAAAGUUACUAAUGACAUUCAGAGACGAUUUUUGAUUUGUUAAAGAAAAAAUCAAUUUAAAUUUAAUUUUAUGUGACUAGGAAAGAUCAGAAAUAUUUCAGUUGCAUUUUCCCUGAAUUAAUUGCUUAUGCAGAGAACUUGCAUUCUCGCCAUGACAAAGUAGUUUCUGCAUUUAUGUUUUGUCCCAAAUCCUAACAUCCAGAUUGAAAAAAUGUAUUUCUUAGCUGAUAUCUUCUGUGGCUUAUCCUCAAGAAAAUAGUUUUUGUCAUGGGCAAUUUUGUAUAGUCUCUUUGGUAUGUCUAGAAAACAUAUCAUCUAAUCCUGUUAUUUAGUUGAAAAUCAACAAUGAGGACAAGACCAUUGUGAUACUAUCAGACAGUAACUUUCACAAAGCAUGAAUUAGAAGAUCUAUCAAAAUUUGCUUUUCAAGACAUAGGAGCUUUUAAUGUUUUGCAUUCACCCAGCAAAAUUCCUAUCUCAUGUACAACCACUCUUUUGAGUACCAUUUGAUAUUCCCAAAGUUUUGAGUAUGAACUGAAUCUUCCUAUGUGAAUGAAGUUGAAAAUCUCACAAUUGGUUGUGUGACUUAUAGUCAUAAACAUCAGGGAUGACGAAUAAAUGCAACUUUAUUUAUUUUUUAAUUCUGAAU